rnacentral:rRNA from 1 species
AGCCCAAGUGGGAUUAGCUAGUUGGUAAGGUAAUGGCUUACCAAGGCGACGAUCCCUAGCUGGUUUGAGAGGAUGAUCAGCCACACUGGGACUGAGACACGGCCCAGACUCCUACGGGAGGCAGCAGUGGGGAAUAUUGCACAAUGGGCGCAAGCCUGAUGCAGCCAUGCCGCGUGUGUGAAGAAGGCCUUCGGGUUGUAAAGCACUUUCAGUAAGGAGGAAAGGUAAAGUGUUAAUAGCACUUAGCUGUGA